rnacentral:rRNA from 1 species
AGCUAGUUGGUGAGGUAACGGCCCACCAAGGCAACGAUCGGUAGCCGGACUGAGAGGUUGAACGGCCACAUUGGGACUGAGACACGGCCCAGACUCCUACGGGAGGCAGCAGUGGGGAAUAUUGCACAAUGGGGGAAACCCUGAUGCAGCGACGCCGCGUGGAGGAAGAAGGUCUUCGGAUUGUAAACUCCUGUUGUUGGGGAAGAUAAUGACGGUACCCAACAAGGAAGUGACGGCUAACUACGUGCCAGCAGCCGCGGUAAAACGUAGGUCACAAGCGUUGUCCGGAAUUACUGGGUGUAAAGGGAGCGCAGGCGGGAAGACAAGUUGGAAGUGAAAUCUAUGGGCUCAACCCAUAAACUGCUUUCAAAACUGUUUUUCUUGAGUAGUGCAGAGGUAGGCGGAAUUCCCGGUGUAGCGGUGGAAUGCGUAGAUAUCGGGAGGAACACCAGUGGCGAAGGCGGCCUACUGGGCACCAACUGACGCUGAGGCUCGAAAGUGUGGGUAGCAAACAGGAUUAGAUACCCUGGUAGUCCACACCGUAAACGAUGAUUACUAGGUGUUGGAGGAUUGACCCCUUCAGUGCCGCAGUUAACACAAUAAGUAAUCCACCUGGGGAGUACGACCGCAAGGUUGAAACUCAAAGGAAUUGACGGGGGCCCGCACAAGCAGUGGAGUAUGUGGUUUAAUUCGACGCAACGCGAAGAACCUUACCAAGUCUUGACAUCCCUUGACAGGCAUAGAAAUAUGUUUUCUCUUCGGAGCAAGGAGACAGGUGGUGCAUGGUUGUCGUCAGCUCGUGUCGUGUGAUGUUGGGUUAAGUCCCGCAACGAGCGCAACCCUUAUGGUCAGUUACUACGCAAGAGGACUCUGGCCAGACUGCCGUUGACAAAACGGAGGAAGGUGGGGAUGACGUCAAAUCAUCAUGCCCUUUAUGACUUGGGCUACACACGUACUACAAUGGCGUUAAACAAAGAGAAGCAAGACCGCGAGGUGGAGCAAAACUCAGAAACAACGUCCCAGUUCGGACUGCAGGCUGCAACUCGCCUGCACGAAGUCGGAAUUGCUAGUAAUCGUGGAUCAGCAUGCCACGGUGAAUACGUUCCCGGGCCUUGUACACACCGCCCGUCACACCAUGAGAGCCGGGGGGACCCGAAGUCGGUAGUCUAACCGCAAGGAGGACGCCGCCGAAGGUAAAACUGGUGAUUGGGGUGAAGUCGUAACAAGGUAGCCGUAGGAGAACCUGCGGCUG